AUGCAGAAGCAGCAAGAUGCUGUGGCAGACUCAGCUCCUCUGGCUCCUCAUGCUCUGGGCACAGGGAUCCAGCGGGGACAUUGUUGUGACUCAGACUCCAGAGUCCCUGGCAGUGACUCCCGGGGAGACAGUCACCAUCAAGUGCAAAGCCAGUUCCAGUGUUGGCAGCAACAUGGCCUUGUACCAACAGAAACAAGGGCAGGCUCCUAAGCAACUUUUAUAUGGAACAAACACCCGUCCCUCGGGGGUCCCCGACAGGUUCAGCGGCAGUGGGUCCAGCACCGACUUCACUUUCACCAUCAGCCAGGUGGAAGUGGAUGAUGCAGGAGAUUAUUACUGUCUACAGCACAACAACCUAUGGCUCACAGCUCAGAUUUUCAUUGCAAACUCACACCCCAAGAUCCCUGCCACCACCCAUGUCUCUCAAACUGAUCUGCAUGAUUUGCUCCAAUGA